UUAGCUCGUAUUUGUAUGGAACGGGAUCGUUUGCCUACGUUUGCCGCUAGGGGCGCUGUUCCAACUGCAUACAAAACUGAGUUA
rnacentral:pre_miRNA from 1 species